rnacentral:rRNA from 1 species
AAUGAACGUUGGCGGCGUGGAUUAGGCAUGCAAGUCGAGCGACAAGGCGUGAAGUGCUUGCACGGAUCGCUGGAGGAGCGGCAAACGGGGUAGUAAGGCGUCGGAACGCACCCACAGGACCAGAAUAGCCGCGGGAAACCGCGGGUAAUGCUGGAUAAUCUCUACGGAGCAAAUGGUCAGCCGCCUGUGGACCGGCCGACGUGAUACUAGGUAGUUGGUAGGGUAAUGGCCUACCAAGCCUGAGAUGUCUAGGGGGUGUGAGAGCAUGGCCCCCACCACUGGGACUGAGACACUGCCCAGACACCUACGGGAGGCUG